rnacentral:snoRNA from 2 species
UCCCUCUCAGGGUUGCACCUGGAGAGUUUCCAGUACUCUACCACUAUUGACUAUGGGAGGGAGAGUCAAGCAGAGGCCUACGCAUUCCAUUCCUAGCUUGGCCAGUGGCUAGCAAGUGGAAGGCCAUCUGCUACCAGU